CUGUCCUCCCGAUGCCUGCAGAAUCCCAGUGCAGUAACACUAUAUCAGAGGCAAGAGCUUGCUCCUGUGUUCAUAUUGAGAGCAGCGCCUUUUUUCUCUGCGCCCGCACCCCCACCCCCAACCCCUUACUAGGUACCAGGCAGUGGGAGCAACACUAACAGCAGAAACCGUCCUCUAUAACAACUGAGAGAAAAGCUUAUUCCUGUUCUUUUCUUUGUAAAAAUACAUAUGGUUUUAAACAUUCUACGGCAUGGCAAACCCCUAAAGAAGUCUAGAGUAGCCAUUUAUCCCGAAGCUGCUCAUUUCUCCAGAAUUUCAGCGGUCGCACACUGAGAAUUAAAACUGCAGGUUGCACUGAGGGUGUGUCAAGUUAGAGGAGUAUUUCUUGCCUUACCCAGGGGAAGUAUCUUCUAUCUGAUUGUUCAUGCAUGAAAACGGGGCUUGCUGCGCGCUGAUUGGUUGCUGUUUUCCUGCAGAACUUCAUUGAUUUCAGAUCAGAGAACAAAUCAUUGGCUGUGAAGAACUUUUGAAUGCUCUGAGAAUU